CCUACGAGCGGCAGCAGUGAGGAAUAUUGGUCAAUGGCCGCAAGGCUGAACCAGCCAAGUCGCGUGAGGGAAGACGGUCCUCCGGGUUGUAAACCUCUUUUGUCGGGGAGCAAAGAGAGUCACGUGUGACGCAUUAAGAGUACCCGAAGAAAAAGCAUCGGCUAACUCCUUGCCAACAGCCGCGGUAAUACGGAGGAUGAGAGCGUUAUCCGGAGUUAUGGGGUUUAAAGGGUGCGUAGGCGGAAAGGCAAGUCAGCGGGAAAAUUGCGGGGCUAAACCCCGUACUGCCUUUGAAACUGUGUCUCUUGAGUGCGCGAGAAGUAUGCGGAAUGCGUGGUGUAGCGGUGAAAUGCAUAGAUAUCACGCAGAACUCCGAUGGCGAAGGCAGCAUACCGGCGCGCAACUGACGCUGAUGCACGAAAGCGUGGGUAUCGAACAGGAUUAGAUACCCUAGUAGUC
rnacentral:rRNA from 1 species